UUUAAAUGUAAAAUUUUAAUACUAAAUUAUUAAUAGUUAAGUUCUUUAAAUUUAAAGAUUUUGGCGGUAUUUUAGUCUAUUCAGAGGAACCUGUUCUAUGAUUGAUAGUCCACGAUUAACAUUACUUAAUUUAAAAAUUUGUAUAUCGUCGUUUAUUAAUGAUUUUAUAAGAAUUAAAAUUUUUAAGAUUUUCUAUUAAAAAAUAUAUCAGAUCAAGGUGCAGUUUAUAAUUAAGAAGAAAUGGGUUACAAUAAAUUUAUUUAUACGAAUUGAUAUAUUAAAUUAUAUUAUAAAGGAGGAUUUGAUAGUAAUAAAAUUUAAUUAAAUUUUAUGAUUUUAGCUCUAAAAUAUGU
rnacentral:rRNA from 1 species